rnacentral:lncRNA from 1 species
CUCCUUCCCCGUUCUCUCUCUCCCUCAGCCCGAUCCCCUUCCUCACCGCCGGCCGAUUUUGGUCGUUGCCACUCCUCCCCGCCGAUAGCACCAACCUCCACGAGCUCCCCUCGCUCCACCUUCUCCUGUACAGCGAGGAAUCCCCUCCUCUCCGGCGGAUCCUGUGGCUCGAGCCGACGGCUGGCUAGGCCCGCGUGACAGACCCAGGCCGUUGGCGUUCUGCCUCUCCGUGCCGGUCCACCUUGGUCCCCGGUGGCACGAGCAAGGGCAAGGCACCACCGAGCUCCACCUCGGCACUCCACUCCACUCCCGAGACCUCUCCUACCCCACUGCACUUCCCGGCGGGCGUCUCCUCCACCUGCAAGUCAGGUAGUGUUUUUGUCUCUCCACAUACACACAUAGGUUGAACAUAUCAAACAUAUUUGAUUCCCUUCAUGUUUUUAUUCAUCUUUUGGUGCUUGUCUCGUCGUAAUUAAUAACUAGUACAAGUGCCUGUACUAAUUGCAAUUACUUAGUAAAUUAGACCAGAGAAAACAUAUGUAAUGUAAUGAGCUAUGGAAAACACUAUACUGGUGGGCUCAGUUGGGAGAAGGCCUGUAAUGCAAUGCAAUGCAAUGCAAGCAUCUUUUCUCAUAAAUAAAUGUUGUUGCUAGCAGUGCAUUUAUCUAUCUUUAGAAUGUUUGCUUGAUGGACACCUUUGAAAUCUUUUCAGUAUUGAACUGUUGAUCUAUUCUGUAUUUCAGCACCUGCAAAGCAUUUUGGUCAUCUAACAAACUGAACAAUUUAGUUUUAAUUAAUGGAAAAGUUGCAUCUACUUGUAGUGAAAGGAACAAUUUCAGGUAAUUAUAAAUAUUCAAUAGCAGCAGAGCCAAGCAGUAGCAGUAGCAGUAGCAGUAGCAGUAGAUGCCAACUUUUGAUAUGCAUGCAUGCAUUCUUUGCUUGUUUAUAUUCAUUCUUGUAAACUGAACAUGCUCAUCUAUCUAUCUAUCAAUCUGAUCUCAUCUGAAAUGAAUCUAUAAAUACAGAGUGUAGUUAGUUACAGAGUAGCAGAAAUAGUUGCUGGAUGCAGUUACUUUAUAUAUAUUCAUACUGAUGUUGACUCUAUAAAUCAUACUUAUUGGACAUGUUUUAUGUGUUGAUCCAUCAAUUGAUCACAUUGAGAAAGACCAUUGUGUCUCCGACCAUUUUGCAAAGGUCAUGUCUCCGACCAUCGUGUCGUGAUGAAUUUGCAGGUACCCCGAGAGGCCCUUGAGUUUUCCGGAAUGUUGAUUAACUUCCGUUCCAGCAAAUUCGGGUACUCCAUAUGUCCUAUUUUCAGCAAAGGUAAUGCUGAAAUUUUCCGUGAAUUUUAGCAUGACUGCUAAAAAUAGGACAUAUGGGGUACUUGCGACUAAUGCAUGGACCGGGGUAUCUUAGUACUUAGUUAAGUAGGAUCAAAUGCCCCGCCAUUCUUGCUGCAUUAAACCAUAGGUGGCAAUAGAGCCAAGUGAUUAGUGCCAAGUGAUUAGGCCCAACCUAGGGUGCCUCGGCUUAGGCUUUUAGGGUGCCUCGGCGUCGACAAACCCUAAAUGAUAAAAGCUUAGCUUUUAGGAUGCCUCGGUGUCGACAAACCCUAAAUGAUGAGACCAUGAUCUUGUUCCUUGACAAUAACCAACUUUUUGACCAAACUGUUUUCCUAUUUAAAGCGAAACAUGGCCAACAACGAUGAGGCCGGCGGUUCCGGCGGCAAGCAAUUCUGGGAGCUGUCCUAGGAGAUGGAGGAACAACCUCACCGCUAUGAGGACGCCGCGGAAGACACCGAUCCUGAUUACACAACCCCUAGUGGCGUCGGGGAUGACACCACUGAUCGUGCCGCUGAGGAUGCCACCACUGAUGAUGGCGGCGCACACACAGAUGGCAGCCAACCGAAGAAGCAAAGGAAGGACCGGUGCCCGAAUGCGCUCCGCACCCUCAAGGAGGAAUUCACUCAAGUGGACUCCGACGGGAAUCCAACGGAGCCCAAACAUAUAGUCAAGGGGUACUCGGUUCAGCUCGGUAGCAUUCUCCGGAGCACCGUCUCGAUCAACACCGAGAACCUUAGGCAUAAGGACCGAGGGAAUUUGCGCAACCUCCUCUUCACGAAGCUGCACGAACGAUACAAGUUCCCCGCUGAAUUUGAAAGCACAUGCCUCUCAGGGAAUAAAGUGAACAGUGCCACCCUCACGAAGAUGAGCACGGCCCUGUCUACUUGGAGAAGCAUGGUGAAGAGAAUGAUUGAUAAAGGUGAUAGUUAUGAGAAGAUCAAGGCGAAAUAUCCUUUGAUGAGCGAAGAUGACUACAAGGAGUUCAAGAUAAAGUGCAAGAGCAGUGCAACCACCGAAUCAAGUUAGUGGGGGAAAGAAAUGCGGGAGUUGAACUUCGGGGAACACAAACUCGGUCCCGGCGGUUACAGAGUGGCGGAGCCUAUAUGGGACAAGGAGGACGCGGAGCAUGCCGAGCAAGGCCUACCGCCCCGCUUCGAGAAAUACAGCGGUAACAAGCAGACCAGGAACUAUGUCAGGCCCCGGUACAAGGAGGACCCGAUAACAAAGGAGCUUACCACGGAUCCGAAGACCAGGGCGCUUGAGCUUGUUCUGGUAAGGAAUACACCCCCGCGUAAUUAGCUCCAUAUGGUUGCACUCUAACUAAUCCCCAAUAUUUCUAAAUGGUUCACGUUCCUUUCGCAGGAAACUGAAAGCAGUAGCGCGGGGUCGUCUCAGAGCUCCCCUUUCAACAGCCCUUUAAAUAGGGCAUUGAACAUAAUGAAAAGCAAGGAUAAGCUCACUAAGCCGACGUCAGCUGGUCGUGUGGCCGGCAAAGGCUUGUCCACAAAAUGGGGGUCAUACUAUACCGCUGGUGUGCGGAAGGAGAAAAAGGCCAGCUCGGAAAGCCAGACGCGCGAGGUUGAAGCACUCAAGGCACAAGUGGCGCGGAUUCCGUAGCAUGUCCAAGAGCAAGUGGAACAACAACUGGGAACGAAGCUCAACGCCAUGGUGCCUACGUUGAUUCAUGGGCUGACGACGUGGAUUGCGGGCGGCCAACAGGGGCCUCCCCCGGUUCCCAGCUUCACGGCCAGCAACUCGCACAAUGCGCAGGCGGCGCCAUUGGUGUCUCCGGCGGCGCCAUUGGUGUCUCCGGCGGCGCCAUUGGUGUCUCCGGCGGCGGCGGUAUUCGUGUCUCCGGCGCCGGCACGGGCAUUGGAGCUUAAUGCACCCGGGUGUACGCCGGCCGGCACCUCGCCAGCAAGCUCUCCCUCCGUCAGUUGCAUGCCCGCCGUUGGCGGUGCCUCGACAUUAUCCGAGCUCGACGGCAUCACGGUAACUAAGCCUCUCGGCCGAUGACUUCAUCUCCUUGCCUUUGACUGGGCAUCCCUGAUGCCCUGUACAUGUUUAUGCAGGGCACCGCCGACGUUCCUUGCACUCUUCUGCACUUCGUGGGCGUCGAGUUGGUCGAUGUCGCCAAGGGCAGAAUCGUUUAACUGGGCAACCGCAUGUUCCACGGUAAUCCGAUGCCACCCACAGUGUAUAGGGUUGAAGUGGUUCGGGUGCUCCCAGGCUGCAACGAGCUGUUACCUCCGGUUCGACCCGCUGGGGCCGACGAAGAAGAUGAGAUGACCCUCAGCGCCUGCGUAAACUGGCCGCUGCUUUGGCCGAAGAGCCAGAUUCGUUUGGGGGCGGGGGACACCACCCCACAGACAAGACCGCCAGUCGUGCCGGCGCCAAGCCAUGGAUAUCUUGAGGAUAUCUUGAGGAGGGUGCAUGUGGCGGGUAGGGCGAUGCUACCGCCAAAUAUGCUGAAUGCUGCAACCGGUGCUAUGCGGAGUCUGCACGACAGUGUUCUUUCUUUGGAGAAGCUGCGUUUGAGAGAGAAUGACGUGGCAUACCCGGUUUUCGUGGCCAAGGUGCCAGAGGGCAAGGGCUCUGCGGAUGGCGACAUCAGGGGUACGAUCGUCCUGUGGUUUGAUGACAUCUUUGCUAUGUUUAACCUUCAUCCGCUGCACUACACCUUCGUUCGGCUGUUUUCGCUGAGUGUGGAGAUGCGGAUCAUUAGAGACAAGACCCCGGACAUCGUGAUAGUCGACCCCUUCUACAUGCGUGCCAAGCACUUGAACAGUGCUGGGGACCACCAAGUUGCGAGUUCACACCUCGAAGGCAUCAUUCUGGCAAACCCAGAUAAGGAUAACUUCCUUGUGCCUUACUUUCCCGAGUAAGUCAUCCCUUAACCGCCCCGUAACAUAUGAUUUCUUAGAUUUUGAUCGUUCUUUUUUUUCUAACAUUCCGUGUUCUGUGCAGUGACACACAUUGCACACUCAUCCUCUUAAGCCCGAAAUAUUCCAUGGCCACGUAUUUCGACCCGAACCGUAACUCCAAGAUAGACUACAGAAAUCUCAAGAAAGUUCUUGAUGAUGUUCUCCCCGGCUACGCCAAAUAUGGAGGCACCUUCACCAGGGCAGUUCUUAAGUACGGCAAGCACAUGUUCUCUCACAAUACGAAGUUCUGCUGUGUCAAGCAGCCGCCUGGCGGUCAGAAGGAUGCCUACUACGCCCUCCAUCACAUGCGGGCGAUCGUAAGGGACCAUCAUCAACUUCUGCUACCAGAUAAUCUCAAAGAUUGGGCUGCGAGCUUGUCGGCAGUCCAGGACGCGGACCUCAGACAAGAAUUCUUUCGCAUCCAGUCGGAGUUUGCGGACAUCAUCCAUCAAGAUGUCCUUCAUACCUCGGGGCAGUUCUUCGUCAGAUAUCAACCGUCCAACAGUGAGAUAGAUGAAANNNNNNNNNNNNNNNNNNNNNNNNNNNNNNNNNNNNNNNNNNNNNNNNNNNNNNNNNNNNNNNNNNNNNNNNNNNNNNNNNNNNNNNNNNNNNNNNNNNNGCCCCUAACCUCACACAGCCUCCUUCCCCGUUCUCUCUCUCCCUCAGCCCGAUCCCCUUCCUCACCGCCGGCCGAUUUUGGUCGUUGCCACUCCUCCCCGCCGAUAGCACCAACCUCCACGAGCUCCCCUCGCUCCACCUUCUCCUGUACAGCGAGGAAUCCCCUCCUCUCCGGCGGAUCCUGUGGCUCGAGCCGACGGCUGGCUAGGCCCGCGUGACAGACCCAGGCCGUUGGCGUUCUGCCUCUCCGUGCCGGUCCACCUUGGUCCCCGGUGGCACGAGCAAGGGCAAGGC